GUGAGUGUAGUGCAGUGGUAGAGCAUAUGCCUCGCACGCAUAAGGACCUGGUUUGAUCCCAGCAUCACU
rnacentral:tRNA from 1 species